UACGUAGGGCGCAAGCGUUGUCCGGAAUUAUUGGGCGUAAAGAGCUCGUAGGCGGCUUGUCACGUCGGGUGUGAAAGCCCGGGGCUUAACCCCGGGUCUGCAUUCGAUACGGGCUAGCUAGAGUGUGGUAGGGGAGAUCGGAAUUCCUGGUGUAGCGGUGAAAUGCGCAGAUAUCAGGAGGAACACCGGUGGCGAAGGCGGAUCUCUGGGCCAUUACUGACGCUGAGGGACGAAAGCUAGGGGAGCGAAAGGG
rnacentral:rRNA from 1 species